CGGUGAUGGCGACGCACAAGCGGAAGACGAUCAAUCUGGGGCAAGGCUGGGAGUUCAUGUAGAAGGGCAUCACCAAACUCAAGAACAUCCUCGAGGGCAAGCCCGAGCCAGUUCGGCUCCGUAGAUGAUUUACAACAUGUGCACGCAAAAGCCGCCUCAUGACUACUUGCAGCAGCUCUACGAGAAGUACCGCGAGUCAUUCGAGUACAUCACGUCCAUGCUUGCGUGGUUGUUGAGUUGGGGGAAAGAUAUUCAUGGAAAUGUUUGCCUAUUGCGCAUAAAGCGGUGGAUGGAUAGACAUCACACAUAUGCCUAGAAAGCUCUCUGGAAGUCUGUCUACUUAUAUGUUUCUGAAUGGUGAGGGUACAAUGAUAGAGAG